CCAAUAGCGUAUAUUAAAGUUGUUGCAGUUAAAAAGCUCGUAGUUGAAUUUUAGGCCUGGCCGGAUGGUCCGUCUUUGGCGAGUACUGUUCUGUCGUCGGGUCUAUCCUUCUGGUGAGCCGGUAUGCCCUUUAUUGGGUGUGUCGGGGAACCAGGACCAUUACCUUGAAAAAAUUAGAGUGUUUAAAGCGGGCAUUUGCUUGAAUAGAUUAGCAUGGAAUAAUAGAAUAGGACGUUGGUUCUAUUUUGUUGGUUUUAGGACCACCGUAAUGAUUAAUAGGGAUAGUUGGGGGCAUUAGUAUUCAAUUGUCAGAGGUGAAAUUCUUGGAUUUAUUGAAGACUAACUAUUGCGAAAGCAUUUGCCAAGGAUGUUUUCAUUAAUCAAGAACGAAAGUUAGGGGAUCGAAGACGAUCAGAUACCGUCGUAGUCUUAACCAUAAACUAUGCCGACUAGGAAUCGGGCGACGUUAUUUCAUGACUCGCUCGGCGCCUUAUG
rnacentral:ncRNA from 2 species